CUACGGGGGGCAGCAGUGAGGAAUAUUGCGCAAUGGGGGAAACCCUGACGCAGCGACGCCGCGUGGAUGAUGAAGGCCUUCGGGUCGUAAAAUCCUGUCAGAUGGGAAGAAAUGUUAUAUCUCUAAUAUAGGUAUGAUUUGACGGUACCAUCAAAGGAAGCACCGGCUAACUCCGUGCCAGCAGCCGCGGUAAUACGGAGGGUGCAAGCGUUGUUCGGAAUUACUGGGCGUAAAGCGCGCGUAGGCGGCUAUUUAAGUCAGAUGUGAAAGUCCACGGCUCAACCGUGGAAGUGCAUUGAAACUGGAUGGCUAGAGUACUGGAGGGGGUGGUGGAAUUCCCGGUGUAGAGGUGAAAUGCGUAGAUAUCGGGAGGAAUACCGGUGGCGAAGGCGACCACCUGGCCAGAUACUGACGCUGAGGUGCGAAAGCGUGGGGAGCAAACAGGAUUAGAUACCCCCGUAGUC
rnacentral:rRNA from 1 species